AAGGAGCUCAGCACCCAGCACAGGCAGCCCCGCACCCUCCCGACACCAAGCACACCUGCCCAGCAGCGGGAGGACGGGGAUGAGCCAGGAGGGAGGCACUUUCUUAAAGCAGCAGGCAGCCGGGCUGCCUCUCCCCACCUGCCGCUGCCGGAACGAAAGCCACAAUUCCCCGAAACUGGGUUUCUGUCAAACCCACCCCACCCCUUCCUCUCCCUCGGCCGGCAGCCGUGUCACCCCACACCGGCCCGGGAGACGCGGCGGCUCGGCGGGACGCUGCCGCCCGAGGGCCUCUCUCCCUCGCCCCACGUCAACCCACCCUCCGCGGGCGCGGCGGCACCGCACACCCCUCCUCCCCCGCCCCUCAGCCGCGGACCCGAGACGCUGUUGGCCGCGAUUUACCUGCGAGGGAGCCGGGUCUCUGCAGGGUGGCGGUGGCGUACAGCUCCUGGGAGUGCUUGCUGUACUGAUCGGCAGCGUGAACCAGCCGCUUGAAAAGCAAUGGGUGUCCGCACGAGAAAACACCGCGCCCACUGACACCACCCCCGGCUUUCCCUGCUGCCGCCACAGGGCGCGACCGGCGCUCGCCUCAGCCCCAUCCUCGCCUGAAAAAAGCGGAACGGGAAAACAUCACCCGCACUGCAGCCGGUCGCCUCUUGUUUAUUGACCAGGCACCAAGGGGUAGGAGAGCACGGGAGGAGCUGCCGGGCCCGGGCCCUCCCCGGGGAAUCUGCACCAGGAGGGAGGGAGCGCCCCGCACCGACCAGCCUCGCCGUCCUCGGGGGCCCCCCGGUAGCGGGCGGGGCAGCGCGAAGUUUCCCUUAAACCCAGUAAUUGGGGAGGGCGGGGAAGAAAGCGGGCGAAAAUCCUCGGCAGAUGCUGCCUAUUAGAAAUUUCAGCUGUGUGCCUGAGCCGCUUCUGAAGCAGCAAAGGAUGGAUCUUUCCCAUAGACAUGAGAGGCAUGCUCGUUUUUCUCGGGGAUCUUAGGCUCAAGAGAUCAUCUGUGAAGCUGGUAACAUUAAAAUCCUCUAAUAACUCCACCCUACAGUGAGUGAGAGCUCAGCACUUUGGUGGAAAGCGCUCUCUUGUUUCAGAUACUACUUUUUUUUUUUUUUUUCUGGUUAUGCAGGGGAUUUACUUGAAACCUCAGAAAGCUCUCCAGAUCCCAGGAUCUGACAGUGCAGUUUGAAUCAGCCUGACCAGUGCUUCACCCAAACACACACACCUCUUGGCUACUGAUUUCUGUAGAGAGAAAAGCCUUUAAAAUGUGAAUAAUUAAUUUUGUGACUCAAUUCAAGAGGUGUGGUGAAUGCUGACAGCAACGUUGCUUUACAUUACGGUUUUUCAGUAGCAUUCUGCAGGAAAAAAGAGGGAAAAAAAAAUAAACAAAAGCACCACAUUCCUGGUAUGAAACUUGAUUUCUUUUCACUACAAUAUUACAUAAAGGAUUUGAUCAGGAGCUGAGAUCAAAAUAAAACUAAUCAAAGCAAAGGAUGAGGUUCCAAAUGCCAGAUGUGUACUUCUGGUGUACAACCACUGGGAAUUUUUCUGUCCUUUUUUUACUUUUGGAGCCCCACCUCUCACCUUAAAUGCUUUGCAUCUAGGGGAAGAAUGUGUAUUUUUCUAGACAUGGACAAGAAGCAAGGCUUUGGAGGAGCUGCUCCUGGUGCUUUGCUCCCAGCGUGUAGUAGUAGUGUGGAAGCUAACAGCACUCGCAGCGUUCAGGCAUCUCAAGGGAGCCCUGCCAGACCCAAACCUCACUGCCUUCAGGAUGUUUUGCUCCCCAAGGAGCCUUAUAGAUAAAUGUAAUGUAAACAGUUCCCUCCAACUGUUCUGUGUGGUAAGAGCUCAGUGGGCAAGGGGAUCACAGAUGUAAGUAGCUUGCUUGCUGUUGAGUUGAACUGUUCUGAUUGCGGUCGCGAGUUACAGACUCCACUGCAUCAAGUAUGAGUCUUGAAAUUUUCAUCAAUGGUCAACAAGCUCAAGUUUCUCAUUUGAGAGACUCCUAACAAAAAUCAGGAAAGCAUACUCUGGGAACAUCAAUGAAAUUUUUAAAGCUAUGUUCACGCUACUUACCGUCUCUGCUUUAAACUGGAAACAAGGGCUAACCUGCAACUGACUGUCCAAUAAUUAUUUGGCUGGAGUAUAGUUUUCAUUUUCAAGGUUCAAAUUGUAUGAUAACAACUUUUAUGAAACAAAACAGGCUGGCAAGAUUUAAGACAACAUGGACAGAGCAAAUUUCGCACAUUAGGAAAUGUUGUUUGAAACAGCUACGUUAUCAAUUGGUACUUCUAAAUUAUACUGUUUGGACUGCUAAGUAGCAACAUUGUUCUAAAAUACAGUUUACUGCAAUGUUACCAGUGUGUUCUGCAACACACUGCUAACGCACUGGUAACUUAAGACAGUUUGUCACUGAUCAUAAGGAUUUUAGGCAAGCACUUUCAACAUGUAUACAAAAUUUCUUUUUCUAAUCUAUUUCUAAAUUGCUUGAUGUGUCAAGGAUUUGGAGAAAUUAAUUUCAAAUAAAUCAAUAUUAUCCCAUAUUCCUAAUAAAUCUCUAUAAAGCUGCAAGAAUUCUGCAAGUACUAAUUCAAAAACACACACAAAAAAUUCCCACUUCACAAUUGUCUGUUAUAGGGAAUGUUUAGUGGUGGGACCAAAGAAUUAAAUGCUUAAUUAAAACCACAGUGUAUAGCACUUCCUAAAAAGCUAAGCAUUUGCUCUGUAUGAAGGAGAGAACUUUUGGAUGAACAGAUUGCAAAGAAAACAUUAGCAUGCAGUAUUUUCUAGGAUGUGACUAAUCUCAGACCUGUCUUAAAUUUACUGUGGGAUUCUUAUGUUUUUUCAGAGGGCCAAGUGUACAGUCACAUUCUCCACUUGUCUUUUCAGAGGCAAAAUGCAUUCCAGUUCCUCCCUGUCAGUUGCUUUAAGACAAUCAUACAGAUGUGUCAUUGUUCAUGCAAUGUGUCAUUAUACUUCACAUGGAAGAAUGAAAUACAAUGGUAUUUUUCCCAUAUUUUUCCAUGUAUCCAUUAUUGUUGUCAACCUCAUAAUGAAACUGUGUUUAAACUAAUAAAUUGAGAGUGAAUUUGCGUCCCA